AAAAGAAACCAACAGGGAUUGCCUUAGUAACGGCGAGUGAAGCGGCAACAGCUCAAAUUUGAAAGCUGGCUCCUUCGGAGUCCGCGUUGUAAUUUGUAGAGGAUGAUUCGGCGAGGGCUCCCGCCUAAGUCCCCUGGAACGGGGCGUCAUAGAGGGUGAGAAUCCCGUAUGCGGUGGGUUGCCUUAGCCAUGUGAAUCUCCUUCGACGAGUCGAGUUGUUUGGGAAUGCAGCUCUAAAUGGGAGGUAAAUUUCUUCUAAAGCUAAAUACCGGCCAGAGACCGAUAGCGCACAAGUAGAGUGAUCGAAAGAUGAAAAGCACUUUGGAAAGAGAGUUAAAAAGUACGUGAAAUUGUUGAAAGGGAAGCGCUUGCAGCCAGACUUGUCCGCAGUUGCUCAACCGGUCUCCUGACCGGUGUACUCUUCUGCGGCCAGGCCAGCAUCAGUUCGGGCGGUCGGAUAAAGGCCCUGGGAAUGUAGCUCCUCUCGGGGAGUGUUAUAGCCCAGGGUGGAAUGCGGCCAGCCUGGACUGAGGAUCUCGCUUCGGCUAGGAUGCUGGCGUAAUGGCUGUAAGCGGCCCG
rnacentral:rRNA from 1 species